UACAGAGGUCUCAAGCGUUGUUCGGAUUCAUUGGGCGUAAAGGGUGCGUAGGCGGCGGGGGCAAGUCAGGUGUGAAAUCCCGGGGCUCAACCCUGGAACUGCACUUGAUACUGCUUUGCUAGAGUACUGGAGAGGAGAUUGGAAUUUACGGUGUAGCAGUGAAAUGCGUAGAUAUCGUAAGGAAGACCAGUGGCGAAGGCGAAUCUCUGGACAGUUACUGACGCUGAGGCACGAAGGCCAGGGGGAGCAAACGGGG
rnacentral:rRNA from 1 species